GCGCAGCAGUCGCGAAUCCUUCGCAAUGCGGGAAACCGCGACGAGGGGACUCCCAGUGCCUACGCUCAGCGUAGGCUGUUCCCGAGCCUAGAAAGCUCGGGGAGUAAGGGCUGGGUAAGACGGGUGCCAGCCGCCGCGGUAAUACCCGCAGCCCGAGUGGUGGCCACUAUUAUUGGGCCUAAAGCGUCCGUAGCCGGCCCGGUAAAUGCCUGGGUAAAUCGUGAGGCCUAACCUCACGAAUUCCGGGUAGACUGCCGGGCUAGGGACCGGAGGAGGGAGAGGGGUACUCCAGGGGUAGGGGUGAAAUCCUGUAAUCCCUGGAGGACCACCGGUGGCGAAGGCGCUCUCCUAGGACGGGUCCGACGGUGAGGGACGAAAGCCAGGGGAGCGAACCGGAUUAGAUACCCCGGUA
rnacentral:rRNA from 1 species